AGUUUAAGAUUUAGGGUUUAGGGUUUAGGGUUUAGGGUUUAGAAUUUAGGGUUUAGGGUUUAGAGUUUAGGGUUUAGGGUUUAGAGUUUAGGGUUUAGGGUUUAGAAUUUAGGGUUUAGGGUUUAGAGUUGAGAAAUGAGGUUUUGGGAUAAGAUUUCAAAUUUUGAAAAAUAUAAAAAUUAAAAUUUUCAAAGGAUAAACUUAGAAAAGUGAUAUUUUGGUCAUUUUAGUUUUUGAGUGCUAUUUUUGUGAUAUAAACUUAGAAAUGUGCUAUUUUGGAGAUUUGCCCAAAAAUAAACAUUCUUCCACCAUAUAUCAAUUGUGAAGGCCUGAAAUCUGCAAAGAACAUAAGUGAAAUAAAUUAUGUCGCAUGACCUCACGGUGUACACAAGAAAACACAUAGAAAUAAUUUCUUUUUUAAAAGAACUCAUCCAAACACACUCGUAUAAGACAUCAAAAUGAUAGAAUUUCACAUACCUUCCUUUCACAUUUGUUUAAAGGUUGUCGAAAACUUCUUUGAAAACUACAUUCAUAGUCUUUUUCUGAGGUUUGCCAUCUUCGUCUAAAAUCAAAAUCUUCAAUCCCUUUUUUAAAGUGACUCUAGAAACAGCCACAUAUAGCUGACCAUGUGAAAAGACAGGUCUUGGUAGAUAAAGACCUACUUCAGAUAGCGAUUGUCCUUGACUUUUUGUUGAUUGUUAUUGCAAAAGCCACAGUGAGAGGCAGUUGUCGUCUCCGCAUUUUGAAAGGCAAUCUGGUGUCUGAUGGGGUUAUCAGCAAUCUAGGAAUAUCAACUAUUUCCCCAACCCUUUCUCCUGUUAUAAUCCUAGCUU
rnacentral:lncRNA from 1 species